AACUUUUUCAUAAGAAAUGGCUACCAUUAACAUAAGAGAAAUCAAAGAAAAGUAGACUUUCUGGAAAUCUAAAUUGUUCUUGAGAUUAAAGCAACCCAAGGUAAAAGAUGCAAAGUCUACAUUUAACAUAAGACACAACUACUUUUUUCAUAAAAAAAUGGCUACCAUUAACACAAGAGAAAUAAAAGAAAAGUAGACUUUCUGGAAAUCUAAAUUGUUCUUGAGAUUGAAGCAAACCAAGGUAAAAGAUGAAAAGUCUACAUUUAACAUAAGACACAACUAUUUUUUUCAUAAAAAUAGCUAACAUUAACAGAAGAGAAAUCAAAGAAAAGUAGACUUUCUGGAAAUCUAAAUUGUUCUUGAGAUUGAAGCAACCCAAGGUAAAAGAUGCAAAGUCUACAUUUAACAUAAAACACAACUACUUUUUUCAUAAAAAAUGGCUACCAUUAACAUAAGAGAAAUCAAAGAAAAGUAGACUUUCUGGAAAUCUAAAUUGCUCUUGAGAUUGAAUCAAUAAUGGAAGGUGAAAGUUGCAAAGUUUACAUUUAACAUAAGACACAACUGCUGUUUUCAUGAGAAAUGUUUACCAUUUAGAUGGGCAAAAUCACAAAAAAGUAGACAUUCUGGAAAUCAAAAUUGUUCUUGAGAUUGAAUCAAUGAAUAUUCACAAAAUGAAAAUUGACCGUCUGAUGUAAUCAUUAUAGUGAAACAUGGCUAUGGUAUAAAAUUUAACUGGAUUCAAUAAUGUUCGGUGCUCGAUCAAAGCGGUCAACCCUAAUUCAUCUUCACUUAUCACACGAAAACUAUUUUACCUACCUCUUCGUGACCUAGUUUGGUGGAUUCUUCAACACAAUAAAGUGUCACAUAGAUGAGACAUAACCACCCAUGUAAAACUUUGGGGAUGUUUACCACCCGAGGAUAGGGCUCUCCUUAUUGAAGCAUAAGCGUAAAUAGGGUUGACCGCUUCGAUCGGGGCCCAAACAUUGACGAAUUAAAGUGAUUUUCCUACCGUAGCCGUAUUUUACUAUACCGAUCACAUCCUAUUUCUUGAGAUUUUUGAAAAUUUUGCUUCCUUUAUAUAGUUGGCUCAUAAAGUUGUACACUAGCAUAUAACCUACCAAACAAGUUAUACCACAUUAGUAAGCACGUUAUAAUUCCGAUGACUAAAAUUCACAAAAUAAAAAUUGACCGUAU
rnacentral:lncRNA from 1 species